AGAUUGAACGCUGGCGGCAGGCCUAACACAUGCAAGUCGAGCGGCAGCACGGGUACUUGUACCUGGUGGCGAGCGGCGGACGGGUGAGUAAUGCCUAGGAAUCUGCCUGAUAGUGGGGGAUAACGCUCGGAAACGGACGCUAAUACCGCAUACGUCCUACGGGAGAAAGCAGGGGACCUUCGGGCCUUGCGCUAUCAGAUGAGCCUAGGUCGGAUUAGCUAGUUGGUGGGGUAAUGGCUCACCAAGGCGACGAUCCGUAACUGGUCUGAGAGGAUGAUCAGUCACACUGGAACUGAGACACGGUCCAGACUCCUACGGGAGCAGCAGUGGGGAAUAUUGGACAAGUGGGCGAAAGCCUGAUCCAGCCAUGCCGCGUGUGUGAAGAAGGUCUUCGGAUUGAAAGCACUUUAAGUGGAGAAGGCAGUACCUAAUACGUAUCUGUUUGACGUUACCGACAGAAUAAGCACCGCUAACUCUGUG
rnacentral:rRNA from 1 species